GAGAAUUUGUUCCAGUAACUCCGUGUUUAAUAACCAUACCAUUUGAGACAGCAAUCCCAUUACUGAGUAUAUACCCAAAGGAUUAUAAAUCAUUCUACUCUAAACUCACAGCCACACAUAUGUUUAUUCUAGCACUAUUCACAAUAGCAAAGACUUGGAACCAGCCCAAAUGCCCAUCAUUGAUAGACUGGAUAAA